rnacentral:rRNA from 1 species
GACGAACGCUGGCGGCGUGCUUAACACAUGCAAGUCGAACGGAAAGGCCCUGCUUUUGUGGGGUGCUCGAGUGGCGAACGGGUGAGUAACACGUGAGUAACGUGCCCUUGACUUUGGGAUAACUUCAGGAAACUGGGGCUAAUACCGGAUAGGAGCUCCUGCUGCAUGGUGGGGGUUGGAAAGUUUCGGCGGUUGGGGAUGGACUCGCGGCUUAUCAGCUUGUUGGUGGGGUAGUGGCUUACCAAGGCUUUGACGGGUAGCCGGCCUGAGAGGGUGACCGGCCACAUUGGGACUGAGAUACGGCCCAGACUCCUACGGGAGGCAGCAGUGGGGAAUAUUGCACAAUGGGCGGAAGCCUGAUGCAGCAACGCCGCGUGCGGGAUGACGGCCUUCGGGUUGUAAACCGCUUUCGCCUGUGACGAAGCGUAAGUGACGGUAAUGGGUAAAGAAGCACCGGCUAACUACGUG